rnacentral:rRNA from 1 species
GAAUUUAAACCCCUUCCAGAGUAUCAAUUGGAGGGCAAGUCUGGUGCCAGCAGCCGCGGUAAUUCCAGCUCCAAUAGCGUAUAUUAAACUUGUUGCAGUUAAAAAGCUCGUAGUUGAAUUUCUGCUGUUUCGUUGACUGCGUUUGGCGUUUGUCAUCGUUGCGGCUUGGUUGGGUUUCGAUUAUUCGUUUCCCGACGUUUACUUUGAGAAAAUUAGAGUGCUUGAAGCAGGCUCUUGCCUUGAAUACUUUAACAUGGAAUAACGGAGUAGGACUUUGGUUCUAUUUUGUUGGUUUUAGGAGCCAGAGUAAUGGUUAAUAGGAACAGUUGGGGGCAUUCGUAUUUGACUGUCAGAGGUGAAAUUCUUAGAUUUGUCAAAGACGAACUACUGCGAAAGCAUUUGCCAAGGAUGUUUUCAUUAAUCAAGAACGAAAGUUAGGGGAUCGAAGACGAUCAGAUACCGU